AUACCUUUCUCGGCCUUUUGGCUAAGAUCAAGUGUAGUAUCUGUUCUUAUCAGUUUAAUAUCUGAUACGUGGGCCAUCGGCUCACAUGAUAUUAAAUUAAUUUUUUAGUGGGGAGGGCCCAAUCCAAUAGCUUGCUAUUGGGGUCCUCGCGCGUCGCCUUAGCUUUGCACUACUGCUUCGGCCAGGCGCACCCUAC